AAGGAGAGAAUAUAGAAGCUGUCAGUAGGG
rnacentral:piRNA from 1 species